CCCCCAAAAUGCCCCAAAUUCCCCCAAAAAUCUCAAAAUUCCACCCGAAAAUUUCAAAUUUCCCCCCAAAACCCCAAAUUUUCCCCCUAAAUCCCCCAAAUUCUUCCCAAAAAUCCCCAAAAUUCCCCAAUAAUCCCCAAAAUUCCUCCCAAGUAUUUCAAAUUUUCCCCCAAAAUCUCAAAAUUCCGCCCAAAAAUUUGAAAUUUCCCCCCGAAAAUCUCAAAAUCCUCCCCAAAAUCCCCAGAUUUCCACCCAAAAAUCCCCAAAAAUUUCAGAUUUCUCCCCCAAACCCCCAAAUUUCCACCCAAAAAGCCCCAAAAUCCCCCGAUUUCCCCCCAAAAUCCCGAACCUGCGUCCGCCGCCGCCUCCGGCUCCCCAAAAUCCCGUCGGGGCCCCUCCCCCACCCAGGAAACCGCGGCCGCCGUGGGGCAGGAAAUGUGUGGGGUGGGGGAGGGGCGGAGAGAGACGCCGAGAAAAAUUUGGGGGGGUCUGGAAUUUAUUGGGGGGGUCCGGGACCCCCAAAUGUGGGGCUGGGGUCCCAAAUGUGGGGCUGGGGUCAGUUGGUCACUCUGUGGUCACUCUCAGGUCAUCCCGGGGCCACCCUGUGGUCACUCAGUGGUCACUCCAUCACUCUCAGGCCAUCCUGUGGUCAGUGGUCACCCCGUGGUCACUCGGUGGUCACUCAGUGGUCAGUGGUCACUCAGUGGUCACUCGGUGGUCACUCGGUGGUCAGUUGGUCACUCUCAGGCCAGCACGUGAGCCACCGGCACUUUCCGUGUCCGGCCUCCGGCCGCGGGCGGGACCACGAUGGCCGCGGGGUCGUCGUCGUCGUCGCCGUCCGGGGGCAGCCCUGGGGGAGGUUCCGGAACGUUCCGGGGGGUUCUGCAACCUUCCAUGGGGUUCUAUGGGGGUUCUGGAACCUUCCAUGGGGUUCUAUGGAGGUUCUAUGGGGGUUCUGGAACCUUCCAUGGGGUUCUAUGGAGGUUCUAUGGAGGUUCUGGAACCUUCCAUGGGGUUCUAUGGAGGUUCUGGAACCUUCCAUGGGGGUCCUGGAACCUUCCAUGGGGUUCUAUUGGGGUUCUAUGGAAGGUUCUGGGUUUGUAUGGGGGUUCUGGAACCUUCCACGGGGUUCUGGAACCUUCUAUGGGGGUUUUGGAACCUUCCAUGGGGUUCUAUUGGGUUUCUAUGGGGGUUCUGGAACCUUCCAUGGGGUUCUAUUGGGUUUCUAUGGGGGUUCUGGAACCUUCCAUGGGGUUCUAUUGGGUUUCUAUGGGGCUUCUGGAACCUUCCAUGGGGUUCUGUAACCUUCUGUGGGGUUCUAGGAGGGUUCUGGAAGCUUCCAUGGGGUUCCAUGGACGUUCUGGAACCUUCCAUGGGGGCUCUGGUGCCUUCCAUGGGGUUCUAUUGGGUUUCUAUGGGGGUUCUGGAAGGUUCUAUAGGAGUUCUGGAACCUUCUAUGAGGUUCUGGAACCUUCCAUGGGGUUCUAUGGAGGUUCUGGAAUCUUCCAUGGAGGUUCUGGAACCUUCCAUGGGGUUCUAUUGGGUUUCUAUGGAGAUUCUGGAAUGUUCUAUGGAGGUUCUGGAACCUUCCAUGGGGUUCUAUGGGGGUUCUGGAACCUUCUGUGAGGGUUCUAUUGGCUCCCAUUGGGUUCUACGAGGGUUCUGGAAGGUUCUAUUGAGUUCUAUGGGGUUUCUAGAAGGUUCUAUGGGGUUUCUGGAAGGUUCCAUGGGUUUCUACAAGACCCUGUGGGGUUUCUAGAAGGCUCUAGAGGUUUCUAUGGGGUUCUAGAAGGUUCUGGAGGGUUCAAGAAGGUUCAACACUGCUCUAGAAGCUCUAGAUGCUUCUAGAAGUUUCCAAGACUGUUCUAGAAGGCUCUAGACUGGGUUCUAGACCGUUCUAGAGCGGUUCUAGACUGGGUUCUAGAAGGUUCUAGAUCAGGUUCUAGAUCGGUUCUAGAGCGGUUCUAGAUCGGGUUCUAGAAGGUUCUAGAGCGGGUUCUAGAGCGGUUCUAGAUCGGGUUCUAGAAGGUUCUAGAUCGGUUCUAGAUCGGGUUCUAGACUGGGUUCUACUGGGUUCUGGAGGGUUCUAUUGGGUUCUAUGGGGUUCUGGAAGGUUCUCUGGGUUUCCACAGACUUCUCUGGGUUUCUAGAAGGCCCCAUGGGGUUCUAUAAGAUUCCAGAAGGAUCUAUGGGGUUUCCAGAAGGUUCUCUGGGGUUCUCUGGGGGUUUCUAGAAGGUUCCAUGGGAUUCCAUGGAGUUCUAUGGGUUUUCUAGAAGGUUUUAUGGGUUUUUUAUGGGUUUCUA
ensembl:lncRNA